rnacentral:rRNA from 1 species
UACGUAGGGGGCUAGCGUUGUCCGGAUUUAUUGGGCGUAAAGAGCGUGUAGGCGGCCAGGUAGGUCUGGUGUGAAAACUCGAGGCUUAACCUCGAGAUGUCAUCGGAAACCAUCUGGCUAGAGUCCGGAAGAGGAGAGUGGAAUUCCUGGUGUAGCGGUGAAAUGCGCAGAUAUCAGGAAGAACACCAAUGGCGAAAGCAGCUCUCUGGGGCGGUACUGACGCUGAGACGCGAAAGCGUGGGGAGCGAACAGG